rnacentral:rRNA from 1 species
UACGGAGGGUGCAAGCGUUAUCCGGAUUUACUGGGUUUAAAGGGUGCGUAGGUGGGUCUGUAAGUCAGUGGUGAAAUCUUCGAGCUUAACUCGGAAACUGCCAUUGAUACUAUAGGUCUUGAAUUAUCUGGAGGUGAGCGGAAUAUGUCAUGUAGCGGUGAAAUGCUUAGAUAUGACAUAGAACACCAAUUGCGAAGGCAGCUCACUACGGAUAUAUUGACACUGAGGCACGAAAGCGUGGGGAUCAA